rnacentral:sRNA from 1 species
GCUGUGUGGCCCAGGCUUUUCUCAAACUCCUGAGGGCAGGCGAUCCUCCCACCUCAGCCUCCUGAGUAGCUGGGACUACAGACAUAUGCCACUAGACCUGGCUCUAAAGACUUACAUAUGACACACGAAACCAUUUAUUUUUCAUUUCACAAUGUUUAUUCACAUAUAUGGUAUUAGUAUUCUAAUGUAGUGAUGCACUCUAAAUUUGUAUUAUAUUUCCUAGAACAUCUGAACAGAGCAUAGGAAGUUCCCUAUUUUGCCAUUAUCAGUUCUAACAAAAAUCUUAAAAGCACUUUAUCAUUUCAUUUCCCUGCACUGUAAUUUUUUUAAAUGAUCAAAAACAGUAUCAUACCAAGGCUUACUUAUAUUGGAAUACUAUUUUAGAAAGUUGUGGGCUGGGUUGUAUUUAUAAAUCUUGUUGGUCAGAUGUCUGCAAUGAGUAAAUUUAGCACCAUUAUCAGGAAGCUUUCUCACCAAUGACAACUUCAUUGGAAGAUUUUAAUGAAAGUGUAGCGUACUCUAGGGAAAAAAUAUGAAUAUUUUAGCAUCUAUGUAUUGAAAAUUAUGUUGAAUAAAUGUCAGACUAUUUUUUACAUAACGUUGCUUCUAUUUAAUUUUGUCACGUUCAGAGGUGGGGGGUAGGAGAUGUAAGCCCUUGACAGCAAAAUAAUUCCUUUUGCUUGAUUUCAGACAGUUGCAUCAGCUCCUUUGUUCUGUGUUCAUGUUACACUUAUUUAGGUGGCUGAAUCCACAGAGGAGCCUGCUGGUUCUAAUCGGGGACAGUAUCCUGAGGAUUCCUCAAGUGAUGGUUUAAGGCAAAGGGAAGUUCUUCGGAACCUUUCUUCCCCUGGAUGGGAAAACAUCUCAAGGCCUGAAGCUGCCCAGCAGGCAUUCCAAGGCCUGGGUCCUGGUUUCUCCGGUUACACACCCUAUGGGUGGCUUCAGCUUUCCUGGUUCCAGCAGAUAUAUGCACGACAGUACUACAUGCAAUAUUUAGCAGCCACUGCUGCAUCAGGGGCUUUUGUUCCACCACCAAGUGCACAAGAGAUACCUGUGGUCUCUGCACCUGCUCCAGCCCCUAUUCACAACCAGUUUCCAGCUGAAAACCAGCCUGCCAAUCAGAAUGCUGCUCCUCAAGUGGUUGUCAAUCCUGGAGCCAAUCAAAAUUUGCGGAUGAAUGCACAAGGUGGCCCUAUUGUGGAAGAAGAUGAUGAAAUAAAUCGAGAUUGGUUGGAUUGGACCUAUUCAGCAGCUACAUUUUCUGUUUUUCUCAGUAUCCUCUACUUCUACUCCUCCCUGAGCAGAUUCCUCAUGGUCAUGGGGGCCACCGUUGUUAUGUACCUGCAUCACGUUGGGUGGUUUCCAUUUAGACCGAGGCCGGUUCAGAACUUCCCAAAUGAUGGUCCUCCUCCUGACGUUGUAAAUCAGGACCCCAACAAUAACUUACAGGAAGGCACUGAUCCUGAAACUGAAGACCCCAACCACCUCCCUCCAGAUAGGGAUGUACUAGAUGGCGAGCAGACCAGCCCCUCAUUUAUGAGCACAGCAUGGCUUGUCUUCAAGACUUUCUUUGCCUCUCUUCUUCCAGAAGGCCCCCCAGCCAUCGCAAACUGAUGGUGUUUGUGCUGUAGCUGUUGGAGGCUUUGACAGGAAUGGACUGGAUCACCUGACUCCAGCUAGAUUGCCUCUCCUGGACAUGGCAAUGAUGAGUUUUUAAAAAACAGUGUGGAUGAUGAUAUGCUUUUGUGAGCAAGCAAAAGCAGAAACGUGAAGCCGUGAUACAAAUUGGUGAACAAAAAAUGCCCAAGGCUUCUCAUGUCUUUAUUCUGAAGAGCUUUAAUAUAUACUGUAUGUAGUUUAAUAAGCACUGUAAGUAGAAGGCCUUAGGUGUUGCAUGUCUAUGCUUGAGGAACUUUUCCAAAUGUGUGUGUCUGCAUGUGUGUUUGUACAUAGAAGUCAUAGAUGCAGAAGUGGUUCUGCUGGUACGAUUUGAUUCCUGUUGGAAUGUUUAAAUUACACUAAGUGUACUACUUUAUAUAAUCAAUGAAAUUGCUAGACAUGUUUUAGCAGGACUUUUCUAGGAAAGACUUAUGUAUAAUUGCUUUUUAAAAUGCAGUGCUUUACUUUAAACUAAGGGGAACUUUGCGGAGGUGAAAACCUUUGCUGGGUUUUCUGUUCAAUAAAGUUUUACUAUGAAUGAC